UCCUUGGUGGUCUUAUGGUUAAGACUCAACACUUUUGCUGCUGUAGCCUAAGUUCCAUCCCUGGUCUGGGAU
rnacentral:tRNA from 1 species